UCCUGUGUGGCUCAGUUGGUAGAGCAUGGUGUUUGCAACGCCAGGGUUGUGUGUUCGAUUCCCACGGGGG
rfam:Salmo salar isolate Sally breed double haploid chromosome ssa01, whole genome shotgun sequence.